rnacentral:rRNA from 1 species
GAUUGCCCCAGUAACGGCGAAGUGAAGCGGCAAGAGCUCAAAUUUGAAAUCUGGCCUCCCCCGGGGGCCCGAGCGGUAAUUUGCAGAGGAUGCUUCGGGUGCGGCCGCCGUCUAAGUUCCUUGGAACAGGACGUCAGAGAGGGUGAGAAUCCCGUCUUGGGCGGGCGGUCCGCGCCCGUGUGAAGCUCCUUCGACGAGUCGAGUUGUUUGGGAAUGCAGCUCUAAGCGGGUGGUAAAUUUCAUCUAAAGCUAAAUAUUGGCCGGAGACCGAUAGCGCACAAGUAGAGUGAUCGAAAGGUUAAAAGCACCUUGAAAAGGGAGUUAAACAGCACGUGAAAUUGUUGAAAGGGAAGCGCUUGCGGCCAGAUUCGGGGGCGGGGUUCAGCGGGUGCUCGUCGCCCGUGUAUUCCUCGUCUCCCGGGCCAGCAUCAGUUUCGACGGCCGGUCAAAGGCCCCCGGAAUGUGUCGUCUCUCGGGACGUCUUAUAGCCGGGGGUGCAAUGCGGCCCGUCGGGACUGAGGAACGCGCUCCGGCUCGGAUGCUGGCGUAAUGGCCGUAAGCGGCCCGUCUUGAAACACGGACCAAGGAGUCUAACAUCCACGCGAGUGUUCGGGUGUCAAACCCGUGCGCGCAGUGAAAGCGAACGGAGGUGGGAGCCCUAGGGCGCACCAUCGACCGAUCCUGAAGUCUUCGGAUGGAUUUGAGUAGGAGCGUGGCCGUUGGGACCCGAAAGAUGGUGAACUAUGCCUGAAUAGGGUGAAGCCAGAAGAAACUCUGGUGGAGGCUCGCAGCGGUUCUGACGUGCAAAUCGAUCGUCAAAUUUGGGCAUAGGGGCGAAAGACUAAUC